CUCAUGCCUGUAAUCCUAGCACUUUGGGAGGCCAAGGAGGGUGGAUUGCCUGAGUUCAGGAGUUUGAGACCAGCCUGAGCAACACGGUGAAACCCCGUCUCUACUAAAAUACAAAAAAGAAAUUAGCUGGGUAUGGCGGCAUGUGCCUGUAGUCCCAGCUACUUGGGAGUCUGAGGCGGGAGAAUUGCUUGAACCCGGGAGAUGGAGGUUGCAAUGAGCCAAGAAUGCACCACUGCACUCCAGCCUGAGCAACAGAGCAAGACUCCAUCUCCAAAAAUAAAAAUAAAAAUAAACUGGUUUGGGGGCUGCAAAAUACUAUCUCAUAGUAGUUAAAGCAGCCACGUAAGACUCUGGGUCUUCGCCAGAGCCACAGGGACUCUGUGGAAAGGAAAGCCCCCUUUCCUUCCUUAGACCUUCCAUGCUUACCUCCACCUCCAUAUUUCUCCUCUUUCUCCAACAGGAACAAGCUCAGCUGGGAGUGAGCAAUGAAAGGCAGGUCCAGCCCUUUCACCAUGGCUGCAGUUGGAAGCAAACAAGUGAAUUUGACACAAGGCGUGACCACUGGAAGAAGAAACCCAAAGAAGAUGGAGAAGGAAGGUUGACCAAGGGGAGCACCAGGAAAGAACUGGUGUCAUGGAGGCGAAGAAUGGAGAGUUACAGGGAAUGGCGGCAGGUGACAUUGAGUAAACCACCUAGAGGUUCCUGGGCAUCUUUUCCAUGGUUGUUUCAGUGAAAUGCAAGGGGUAGAAAUCAGAUGGUAGUGCUGGGUGCGGUGACUCACGCCUGUCAUCCCAGCACUUUGGGAGGUUGAGCCGGGCAGAUCACAAGAUCAGGCAAUUGAGACCAUCCUGACUAACACGGUGAAACCCCGUCUCUACUAAAAAUACAAGAAAAAAUUAGCUGGGCGUGGUGGCAGGCACCUGUAGUCCCAGCUACUUGGGA
rnacentral:lncRNA from 1 species